rnacentral:rRNA from 1 species
UGGGGAAUAUUGCACAAUGGGCGAAACCCUGAUGCAGCGACGCCGCGUGAACGAAGAAGGUAUUCGUAUCGUAAAGUUCUGUCCUAUGGGAAGAUAAUGACAGUACCAUAGAAGAAAGCUCCGGCUAAAUACGUGCCAGCAGCCGCGGUAAUACGUAUGGAGCGAGCGUUGUCCGGAAUUAUUGGGCGUAAAGGGUACGCAGGCGGUUUAAUAAGUCGAAUGUUAAAGAUCGGGGCUCAACCCCGUAAAGCAUUGGAAACUGAUAAACUUGAGUAGUGGAGAGGAAAGUGGAAUUCCUAGUGUAGUGGUGAAAUACGUAGAUAUUAGGAGGAAUACCAGUAGCGAAGGCGACUUUCUGGACACAAACUGACGCUGAGGUACGAAAGCGUGGGGAGCAAACAGG